AUUGAACGCUGGCGGCAUGCUUUACACAUGCAAGUCGAACGGUAACAGGCCGCAAGGUUCUGACGAGUGGCGAACGGGUGAGUAAUGCAUCGGAACGUGCCCAGUCGUGGGGGAUAACUACUCGAAAGAGUAGCUAAUACCGCAUACGAUCUAUGGAUGAAAGCGGGGGACCGUAAGGCCUCGCGCGAUUGGAGCGGCCGAUGUCAGAUUAGGUAGUUGGUGGGGUAAAGGCUCACCAAGCCAACGAUCUGUAGCUGGUCUGAGAGGACGACCAGCCACACGGGGACUGAGACACGGCCCAGACUCCUAAGGGAGGCAGCAGUGGGGAAUGUUGGACAAUGGGCGCAAGCCUGAUCCAGCAAUGCCGCGUGCAGGAAGAAGGCCUUCGGGUUGUAAACUGCUUUUGUACGGAACGAAACGGCUCUGGUUAAUACCCGGGGCUAAUGACGGUACCGUAAGAAUAAGCACCGGCUAACUACGUG
rnacentral:rRNA from 1 species